UACGGGGGGGACGAGCGUUGUUCGGAUUUACUGGGCGUAAAGGGCGCGUAGGCGGACCUUCAAGUCGGAUGUGAAACCUGUUGGCUUAACUGACAGCCUGCACCCGAUACUGUUGGCCUUGAGUACGGGAGAGGAGAGCGGAAUUCCUGGUGUAGCGGUGAAAUGCGUAGAUAUCAGGAAGAACACCGGUUGCGAAGGCGGCUCUCUGGACCGAUACUGACGCUCAAGCGCGAAGGCUUGGGGAGCAAACAGGAUUAGAUACCCGCGUA
rnacentral:rRNA from 1 species